rnacentral:rRNA from 1 species
GUGGGCAAUCUGCCCUGCACUCUGGGACAAGCCCUGGAAACGGGGUCUAAUACCGGAUAUGACUGUCCAUCGCAUGGUGGAUGGUGUAAAGCUCCGGCGGUGCAGGAUGAGCCCGCGGCCUAUCAGCUUGUUGGUGAGGUAGUGGCUCACCAAGGCGACGACGGGUAGCCGGCCUGAGAGGGCGACCGGCCACACUGGGACUGAGACACGGCCCAGACUCCUACGGGAGGCAGCAGUGGGGAAUAUUGCACAAUGGGCGAAAGCCUGAUGCAGCGACGCCGCGUGAGGGAUGACGGCCUUCGGGUUGUAAACCUCUUUCAGCAGGGAAGAAGCGAAAGUGACGGUACCUGCAGAAGAAGCGCCGGCUAACUACGUGCCAGCAGCCGCGGUAAUACGUAGGGCGCAAGCGUUGUCCGGAAUUAUUGGGCGUAAAGAGCUCGUAGGCGGCUUGUCACGUCGGUUGUGAAAGCCCGGGGCUUAACCCCGGGUCUGCAGUCGAUACGGGCAGGCUAGAGUUCGGUAGGGGAGAUCGGAAUUCCUGGUGUAGCGGUGAAAUGCGCAGAUAUCAGGAGGAACACCGGUGGCGAAGGCGGAUCUCUGGGCCGAUACUGACGCUGAGGAGCGAAAGCGUG